rnacentral:lncRNA from 1 species
AUUGUGCCCGCACUGUGGCAAACACAAGAGGACAUGAAUGGUUGGCGGUGCAGUGUGGUGGAAGUGCAUUGCAGUGGAUCCCAAGGAAACCAGAGGCAAAUUCUGGCUCUGCCACUAGCAAGGCUCUGUGGCUAGGGUACCCCUGUGGAAUUCAGCCUCCUCAUCCGUGAAAUGAAGAAGUGAAACAAAAACAUCUUAAUGUUAUUUCUAACACCUGCUUUCUCUGGAUUCAGCAUCAGAAUAUAUCCAGAUAAGACUGCAAACAACUGAGAGAGCUAAUUCUUUGCUGUUGGCUUCUACUAAACUGUGAGAAACAUCAGAACAAGAACUGAAGAUGUCUUCGGGUUUUUUUGUUACUGUUUGUUUGAGACGGAGUCUCACUCUGUCACCACGCUGGACUGCGGUGGCAACCUCUCAGCUCGCUGCAACCUCCACCUCCCGAGUUCAAGCGAUUCUCCUGCCUCAGCCUCCCGAGUAGC